GAAAUAAUUAUAUUAAGCUUCUAACUUAAUUCAAAGCGUAAAACGUUUAUAUUUCU
rnacentral:tRNA from 1 species